UACGUAGGGUGCGAGCGUUAAUCGGAAUUACUGGGCGUAAAGCGUGCGCAGGCGGUGAGUUAAGUCUGCUGUGAAAGCCCCGGGCUCAACCUGGGAAUGGCAGUGGAAACUGGCUCGCUGGAGUAUGGCAGAGGGGGGUGGAAUUCCGCGUGUAGCAGUGAAAUGCGUAGAGAUGUGGAGGAACACCGAUGGCGAAGGCAGCCUCCUGGGCCAGCACUGACGCUCAUGCACGAAAGCGUGGGGAGCAAACAGG
rnacentral:rRNA from 1 species